ensembl:lncRNA
GAACAUACAACACGUUCUCACUCCCAACUCGUCAAACGUGUGACGCAUGGUCAGGCUCCCUCUGCUGCACUUAUGGACGCGCAGGGUACCCCUCUCGCGUUGGGAAUUGACGUGAAGGGUCCUCCGAUUGAAGAGAUUGCUGCGGAAGUGCCUGCUGUCGGUAUAUUUAGACAUUUUCCAAAUCACAUUGUAGUGACGUAUACAGAACACAAUAAAUUAUAUAAUGUAAACAACUACCUGAAAAACAGGUAGAACGAUGCUUUUGUAUCGUUUAUUGCAUUUACGGAGGGAGUGAUGUAUGCUGGGUAAUGGCACAGCUAGCUACUGGGUGACUUUAUUCACCCGCUUCGGCUGUUAUCAGUCCAUACAAUGGGCGUUAUUAGCACAAACCAGUCCCAUAGAUAUGGGCCAUCUCCUGCUAGAUUGUUCAGAAGGUUGUUCUCAUCCAUCCAGAUGGAGGAUCACUAACAGGAGCGUGGAAGACUCCAGAAUCCACUCUGGCUGGAAUCCGGUGGAUAUGCAGUGUUUACAGGUACAGUACGUGAUAUCAAGGGCAGGCGGUCAACACUGGGGGUAGACAAGAAGCAGACGUACUUCCAAGAGGGAGCUGCAGUGAGGACACAGCCAGGUCACUGAGGAGGCGCUGGAAGGUUUCCCUAAUAGUUCCUGGUGAAUCAAAGCAGAACCAUAAAGGUUGCUGGACUGCAUGAUGGCCUUACCCCUGAGCAGUCAUCCUGUUAAAGGAGGAACCACUUAGCUGUUUUCAAAGUAGCUGAGCAGAUUUCAUCUCAACAGACAAAGCCGAUUGCAGAAGAUGUCGGAGAAGAACUUCAGGCCGUGUACUGAAAAGGUAUUUUUUUCUUGUUAUCAAAGACAUUUGGAGUGACGGCUUCUACAACUGGUUGUGCUAAAGUAACGCUUACAGUCUAAGAAAUCAUAGUGUUGAUAUUCAGCACAAAGAGAAAAGCUCACUUGUUUGAAUUUAUUUACAAUCAUAGUUUUAUAAAUUCUGAAUGUAAACAUCUUUUACAGCUUUGAUAUUGUUUGACACUAGAUAUCAGGUUUAAUUUAAAGGUUUCUGUGUCCCAAUGAGCCAUUUACACUGAUCAGUGUCAGUUUAACUGUAACACAUUCAUUAUUUAGAUUCAACAAAGAAAUAACUGAAUGUAAAAAUGGCAGCCCACAGGCCAGGUUUAUAGAGAUAUAUGCAUGCAUUAUGAAAUUUAUAUAUCCCAGAUAAUUGUUAUUCCUCUAGUCAUGGCAGACCCACCUCUUCCUCCCAAGUUAACUGCAACCCAAAAGAACUAGUGGGGCUAUUUACACACUCACAACCAGUGUGGGGUAAAAAGAGCCACCAAAAAGCUGUCAGCCACAGAUGUGCUAGAAGAGUUAGAAACUCUACUUAUGGAGAAACUUUCUAAGUCUAACAGAGGACAGGUACUCCUGCCCAAAUAACAUGAUAUAACCCCACAUACAGCCCAGCCAUAAAGUGAACCAAGUCAUUUAGUUAAAGACAGCAUGGGACCAAAUGCAUGUAACCAGCCUGCACCAACCUGGCAUUUCUUCCUCCUGAAUUAAAUGAAUGAAUGGAUGAAAGUUAAAUGACUACAAACCUAAAGCCACUAGUUCCCACACUGGAGCUCCCUGACACUGUGUGUUAACCGUAUUUAGCUUGUAUCAACAGUUGUAACAGGCUAAGCCACCUGAGACACUGCAUUGAAUUUGUUCCUGUCUUAAUGAUUUCAGCUCAGAUGUUCUGCUUUUUCAUUUCAGUAGAUCAAAGCAGCUUGUGCUCCUUCUGCUUCCAAUUUAGAAGAAGAAGGCGAAGGCUUCAGCGAAGUGGCGUUCAUGGUCUCAGUGAACAGUCAUGGCCACACACUGCAUGUGGUUUUAAAAGCAACAUGUCUGUUCACCACAACAAUGGAGAUGUGUAAUAUUAGUGCAGCUACGGUUUGUUUUUGAACAUCAGUUCUGUUUUCUACUUUGAUCACUUAGACCAAAAAAGUGUUGUUUUCAGAUUCUUUCUUUUACAUCUAUAAACCACCUGUUCAUUUUUUUUAUUACAAUUAGUUUCACAUGAAUGUUAGUGUUUCCUUUAUGAUCUUUUAAUGCUUACACUACACUGUACAUGUCUACAUUAGAGACAUUUCUGUUACCUGUUUCUGUUGACUCAGAGUUGUGAAAUGUUCUUUUAUUUGAUGCACAAUAUGAAGCUCAUAAUUUUCUUACAAAUAAAACUCUAAUGACAAACAUGAA